UGCUGAGUCACUCCUUAUGGUGAAAACUGCUCCAGCUCUGACAGGGACUAGCUGUGUGAGGUGAUCUCUUUGUGAUUGGUGAAUGGAGAGAUGGGAUUCCUCUGGGACAGCCAGAGGAAGAAGGAAGCAAGGACCAAGAGACUGAAACUCCAAGGCGGGAAGAACUACGCUGAUCCUGCCAAGACUCACGGAGCCUCCGCCGCAGCUGACUGCUCACACAGGCUCCUGGAGCCGCUGAGGCAGGGGAGCAACCUCUGAGGCCGAGGUGGCUGAAUGCCAGCCAGAAAGAAGCCAGGCUGUGGGUGAGGACGUCAGUAAGGAGAGAGUGACUGUGGCCGCCUUCACCGGGGACAACAGCUUGCCGUUUCCAGGUACCUUCUCGGCACACCGACCUGUUCGACAUUUGGGAUCUGACUGGGCCGUUUCACGUGAUUCUCACUGGUUCGUUAUCACAGCAAAGCGUCGUUUGUCAUUGUACCUGCACUGUAGGCUUGCUUUGCGAAGCUCUCCGGCACAGGCAUCCCCACUGCAGGGUCAUGAGCUCGCUACCUCAGUGUCUUGUUGCUGGGGCCUAACUGCAAGGGCAUCCAGGACCAGCUCUGCAAACCCAUGUGUCCCUGGUUGUUGGUGUAGAUUCCUAGAAGUGCAUUGCUUGGUAGUCAGGAGUCAGCUCACGCAGGCUUUUUGCUGCAUCCAGCCAAACUGCUUUCAAGGAAGCAACCUACAUUUUUUCUGUUAAGGAACCAUUUAGGAGAUUAAAUUCCUGUG